GCUCAGAUUGAACGCUGGCGGCAGGCCUAACACAUGCAAGUCGAGCGGAUGAGAAGAGCUUGCUCUUCGAUUCAGCGGCGGACGGGUGAGUAAUGCCUAGGAAUCUGCCUGGUAGUGGGGGACAACGUUUCGAAAGGAACGCUAAUACCGCAUACGUCCUACGGGAGAAAGCAGGGGACCUUCGGGCCUUGCGCUAUCAGAUGAGCCUAGGUCGGAUUAGCUAGUUGGUGAGGUAAUGGCUCACCAAGGCGACGAUCCGUAACUGGUCUGAGAGGAUGAUCAGUCACACUGGAACUGAGACACGGUCCAGACUCCUACGGGAGGCAGCAGUGGGGAAUAUUGGACAAUGGGCGAAAGCCUGAUCCAGCCAUGCCGCGUGUGUGAAGAAGGUCUUCGGAUUGUAAAGCACUUUAAGGUGGGAGGAAGGGCAGUAAGCUAAUACCUUGCUGUUUUGACGUUACCGCCAGAAUAAGCACCGG
rnacentral:rRNA from 1 species